GUUACUACUGCUAGUGAUGCUAAGAGCACUACAUACAAGAAGAAUAGAUACUAACAGUAACUAUGUAUGAUGAAUUACAUUCCAUUGUUAGGUUAAUGACACUAAGAGGAUAAAGUACAAUUCUCUGCUAUUGAAGACUACAUUGAGAAGUUAAUUGUUUGCUGUUUGAAGCUGUACAUUAACUGAAGACUAUAAAGAAUUACACAACAUUAUUGUUUAUAAUUUUUAGCAUUUUUGUUUAAUACACAAAGUUGUCCUUUUAUCAUUGAUUAUUAUGAA
rnacentral:lncRNA from 1 species